GGAAAAGUCUCAGGCAGCAUAAUUCCAAUGACAUUGAAGCGAUUGUAUGUAGAGAUGAUAACUGGACCAUGUAUGAAAAUCGCAAUGUUAGUCAGAAAAUAAGUGUGAACGAUCCAAUUAUUUGUUAUUUUGUUUUGUUGAAAAAUCGUUUAGUUAUAACUUGUUAUAUAUUUAUUUUAAAGAGCAAGAAUUUUUUUCUCCAAUUUUUAUAUUAUAAUGGCCAUGUAUACCAGCUGUUAUACAAAAGAACAAACAUUUGCAAAAUGUGCAGGUCAGCAUUGUAAAUGAUGUUUUAUACUGUAAAGUUAUAAGAAUAUAGAAUACUCUUGUAUAUUAUGAGACGAUUGUGAUUUGUACUUGCCAAUGUAUGUUAGAAUCAAAGGAGGAGGGAGAUUGAUAUUAUACUGGGAGGAAUUGAUCUUACUUGUGAAAGAAAAAACAAACAUCAAACAUUGCGUUAGAUUUUAAACUGUACAACUUCCAUUCCAACAAGAUCUGUUUAAGAUUGUUUUUACAUAAAGUAAGAAAGAGAAAGUCAGAAAUCCACAUUUAUUGAGAGAGUCGGUGUGAAUUGAGAAAAGGGUGUCACGUUGAAAAAUUCAAAAUUCAUUUCAUUGUUGUUAUAUCUGUGUUAUAGUUUUCAUUUUAGUCCCGUAAGGCUGUGUAUAUGAAGUUACCAAACUUGAUUGUCAAUGACAGAAUGUUUUCCUCUCUUUAACACUUUUCGUUUUCUUCUCUAUAUUUCACACUUUCUAGACUUGUCAAGUUUGGUAACUUCUGAAUGUAAAUGACAACACAAUGUUGUAUUCAUUGAUGGCUGUGUAAUGUAUAGUGUAUGAUUUGAAUGGCUAUAAAUGAUUUUUGGUGGCU
rnacentral:misc_RNA from 1 species